GAGUAAUGAUGUUUUAUCCUAUUCCAUUACUGAAAUUCACUGUGGAAAAAAAUAAGCUGAACUC